rnacentral:rRNA from 1 species
GACGAACGCUGGCGGCGUGCCUAACACAUGCAAGUCGAACGGAAAGGCCCUGCUUUUGUGGGGUGCUCGAGUGGCGAACGGGUGAGUAACACGUGAGUAACCUGCCCUUGACUUUGGGAUAACUUCAGGAAACUGGGGCUAAUACCGGAUAGGAGCUCCUGCUGCGUGGAGAGGGUUGGAAAUUUUGGGCGGGUGGGGCUGGAUUCGCGGCUUAUCAGCUUGUUGGUGGGGUAGGGGCUUGCCAAGGCUUUGACGGGUAGGCGGCCUGAGAGGGUGACCGGCCACUUUGGUACUGAGAUACGUCCCAGACUCCUACGUGAGGCAGCAGUGGGGAAUAUUACACAAUGGUCGGAAGCCUGUUGCAGCGACGCCGCGUGCGGGAUGACGUCUUUCGGGUUAUAAACCGCUUUCGCCUGUGACGAAGCGUGAGUGACGGUAAUGGGUAAAGAAGCACCGGCUAACUACGUG